GCCACUGCCUCUCCUUAGGCUUAGGGGACAACUCAGGUGAAGGAAAAGCAAUGCAUGCAAGUAUAUCCAACAGUACUGAGAAAACUGCUGUCACUUGGCUUAUCAAUGGACCAGUUGGCUAUCAGGAAAAGCUGUGUUCCUGAUUAAAGCUCUUCUAUUCCUCAGCAGCACCGUGUGAGAGAGCUUAAGAAUAAGAAGUCUGCAAAUAUGCCAGCCUUCCCAAGCCAGCACCAUCCAGAUGUUUGGGACUCCCAGCUCCCAUCAGCCCUAGCCAGCACAGCCAGUGUUCAAGGAUAAUAGGAGCUGUAGCUGAAAACACCUGGAGGGCACCAGCUUGGAGAACCCAAAAUACUUCAUGCUAAUUUAAUUUCCAUCAGUGUUAGACACUGCUGACAGUUCCUUGUUUAUUGUGCUCCGCUUAGUGCAUUUUCCUGUGUGCCUGACUACUACUUUUGUCUGCUUGUGAGCUUAUUGUUUCCCCCCUACCUGAAUUACCAAAAUAAGAAAGUCCUUUGCAGCCAGUUACUUUUUAAAAAACAACAACACACCCUACCUUUGUCCGGAAGCUGCUAAAUGUUCAGAUUCUUUUUUCUUUUCUUAAGACAAAAUGAAAAGAACUUUUCUAAUUAUUCCACCUUAUAGACCCCCCCCUUCUUUUGGAGGAAAGGGGCUUAUUUUAUUCAAGCUGUCAUCCUAAUUCUCAAGCAGCUUCAAGGAUUGUACCGGCCUCAGGAAUACUGUUUACCUUCAAAAGAGACACCAAGCAUGAAGACUCUCGGCCUAAAAAUAGAUAUACAUAGCGGGAGUUGGGUUUGGGUUAUAAAUAGAAACACAGGUAUCUUUGCAACCAAUAACCAAUUUAAUGUAUGUGAGAUUGAGCAAAGAGAACAAAGAGCAGGAAUCAUUUCCCUCGGGAUUUAGUUAUUUCAUGUUGGCAGAGAUUUGAUUAGUGCGAUUUUUAAUUAGUUUGCCUGUGGCUGGGUUUUUUUUUUAAACUCUGCACUGUGUUUCUGUGGUAGUUCUAAAAAGAGCCAUAAAAAAAAAACUCCUAGCCCAUCUCUCAGAAGUGCUGAUAGAAAUUCUCCAAUAUGUGCCUCCACUUUCCAUAGUCUCCACUAAAGCUUUGCUCCAAAUAAAAAUGAAAACGUGAGAAAGGAUGAGCAUUGUAUAGACCAGAAAACGUGUGUGCUUUGAUAUCUCCAUUUUAGCCGAUACAGCAGUUCCCUAGGCUUAAAAAAAACACCAUAUGAUCCAGAUACCUAAAUGCAUUUACCUGGAAUUAAGAGUUGAUCCUUAAUGCUGAUGGUGGUGGCAGCAGCGGCAAUGACCUUCAUCAAAUGAUUUAAUCCUGGAAACAUUUUUUUUUCUUUAGCAGAAUCCAUAAGAAAACAAGUCAGGUAAAUAACACACAAACACAUGAGCAACUGCACCAUAAAACCAACUGAACUAAACUGCAGUGAGGACCACAAUUAGAAAUUGCUGAGUAAAGAAAACAGGACGUCCAGCCAUCAAAUUCUGCAACUGAACUAUGUGAGCUGAAGGAAAUUGUGUGUGUGUGUGUGUGUGUGUGUGUGUGUGUGUUGGGGCUCUUUUUACCAAUCCCCAGGUACAAUACGUAACCCAAAUAUACUUGCUGGGAAAAUGGCCACCUCGGUUUGAGUGCUGCCACUCUUCCCUACGCAGCCGCACUGACGCCUCCUUCUCUGAAAGGUAAUUACUGAACUGCCGCAACCUCUGGAUGAAUCUACUUUUCUGCAUAAGAACACAAAAACGGGAGAUCAGCAGCCAAGAAGGUUUGAUCGGGGAGCACCUCUUAGAGAAAGAAGAAAUCCGAUGGAGGGAGAGGAGUUGAUUCGUGCCCUGUUUUAUGUGGCAAUAUCGCCUUAAUCAGACAUCUAUUCGCUGGUUUGUUAAUGAGAGCUACAUGUCAGACUCGCUGCACAUGAAGAUAUGAGGUUAUUCCCCCAAGAAUCGGCUGGCUGGGAUUUCAAAAACUCCCUGGCUCUAAUAGCUGUAAUUUUCUAACACUUUAUUACCUCUGAGCUUACAAAAAGCUCCAGAGAGUUUCUGACAGCAAAGGGAGCUUGCAGAAGGGGGGGUGGUUUCUGCCCCCUGGAAGCUACGGCCGUUUCUGCUGGGGUGAAGCUGAUAAGCACAUGCACCCACUAACCUAUAAAAGGAUAAUGAC